rnacentral:rRNA from 2 species
GGUUAAGCGACUAAGCGUACACGGUGGAUGCCCUGGCAGUCAGAGGCGAUGAAGGACGUGCUAAUCUGCGAUAAGCGUCGGUAAGGUGAUAUGAACCGUUAUAACCGGCGAUUUCCGAAUGGGGAAACCCAGUGUGAUUCGUCACACUAUCAUUAACUGAAUCCAUAGGUUAAUGAGGCGAACCGGGGGAACUGAAACAUCUAAGUACCCCGAGGAAAAGAAAUCAACCGAGAUUCCCCCAGUAGCGGCGAGCGAACGGGGAGGAGCCCAGAGCCUGAAUCAGUGUGUGUGUUAGUGGAAGCGUCUGGAAAGGCGCGCGAUACAGGGUGACAGCCCCGUACACAAAAAUGCACAUACUGUGAGCUCGAUGAGUAGGGCGGGACACGUGGUAUCCUGUCUGAAUAUGGGGGGACCAUCCUCCAAGGCUAAAUACUCCUGACUGACCGAUAGUGAACCAGUACCGUGAGGGAAAGGCGAAAAGAACCCCGGCGAGGGGAGUGAAAAAGAACCUGAAACCGUGUACGUACAAGCAGUGGGAGCCUCUUUUAUGGGGUGACUGCGUACCUUUUGUAUAAUGGGUCAGCGACUUAUAUUCUGUAGCAAGGUUAACCGAAUAGGGGAGCCGAAGGGAAACCGAGUCUUAACUGGGCGUUAAGUUGCAGGGUAUAGACCCGAAACCCGGUGAUCUAGCCAUGGGCAGGUUGAAGGUUGGGUAACACUAACUGGAGGACCGAACCGACUAAUGUUGAAAAAUUAGCGGAUGACUUGUGGCUGGGGGUGAAAGGCCAAUCAAACCGGGAGAUAGCUGGUUCUCCCCGAAAGCUAUUUAGGUAGCGCCUCGUGAAUUCAUCUCCGGGGGUAGAGCACUGUUUCGGCAAGGGGGUCAUCCCGACUUACCAACCCGAUGCAAACUGCGAAUACCGGAGAAUGUUAUCACGGGAGACACACGGCGGGUGCUAACGUCCGUCGUGAAGAGGGAAACAACCCAGACCGCCAGCUAAGGUCCCAAAGUCAUGGUUAAGUGGGAAACGAUGUGGGAAGGCCCAGACAGCCAGGAUGUUGGCUUAGAAGCAGCCAUCAUUUAAAGAAAGCGUAAUAGCUCACUGGUCGAGUCGGCCUGCGCGGAAGAUGUAACGGGGCUAAACCAUGCACCGAAGCUGCGGCAGCGACACUAUGUGUUGUUGGGUAGGGGAGCGUUCUGUAAGCCUGCGAAGGUGUACUGUGAGGUAUGCUGGAGGUAUCAGAAGUGCGAAUGCUGACAUAAGUAACGAUAAAGCGGGUGAAAAGCCCGCUCGCCGGAAGACCAAGGGUUCCUGUCCAACGUUAAUCGGGGCAGGGUGAGUCGACCCCUAAGGCGAGGCCGAAAGGCGUAGUCGAUGGGAAACAGGUUAAUAUUCCUGUACUUGGUGUUACUGCGAAGGGGGGACGGAGAAGGCUAUGUUGGCCGGGCGACGGUUGUCCCGGUUUAAGCGUGUAGGCUGGUUUUCCAGGCAAAUCCGGAAAAUCAAGGCUGAGGCGUGAUGACGAGGCACUACGGUGCUGAAGCAACAAAUGCCCUGCUUCCAGGAAAAGCCUCUAAGCAUCAGGUAACAUCAAAUCGUACCCCAAACCGACACAGGUGGUCAGGUAGAGAAUACCAAGGCGCUUGAGAGAACUCGGGUGAAGGAACUAGGCAAAAUGGUGCCGUAACUUCGGGAGAAGGCACGCUGAUAUGUAGGUGAAGCGACUUGCUCGUGGAGCUGAAAUCAGUCGAAGAUACCAGCUGGCUGCAACUGUUUAUUAAAAACACAGCACUGUGCAAACACGAAAGUGGACGUAUACGGUGUGACGCCUGCCCGGUGCCGGAAGGUUAAUUGAUGGGGUUAGCGGUAACGCGAAGCUCUUGAUCGAAGCCCCGGUAAACGGCGGCCGUAACUAUAACGGUCCUAAGGUAGCGAAAUUCCUUGUCGGGUAAGUUCCGACCUGCACGAAUGGCGUAAUGAUGGCCAGGCUGUCUCCACCCGAGACUCAGUGAAAUUGAACUCGCUGUGAAGAUGCAGUGUACCCGCGGCAAGACGGAAAGACCCCGUGAACCUUUACUAUAGCUUGACACUGAACAUUGAGCCUUGAUGUGUAGGAUAGGUGGGAGGCUUUGAAGUGUGGACGCCAGUCUGCAUGGAGCCGGCCUUGAAAUACCACCCUUUAAUGUUUGAUGUUCUAACGUUGGCCCCUGACCGGGGUUGCGGACAGUGUCUGGUGGGUAGUUUGACUGGGGCGGUCUCCUCCUAAAGAGUAACGGAGGAGCACGAAGGUUGGCUAAUCCUGGUCGGACAUCAGGAGGUUAGUGCAAUGGCAUAAGCCAGCUUGACUGCGAGCGUGACGGCGCGAGCAGGUGCGAAAGCAGGUCAUAGUGAUCCGGUGGUUCUGAAUGGAAGGGCCAUCGCUCAACGGAUAAAAGGUACUCCGGGGAUAACAGGCUGAUACCGCCCAAGAGUUCAUAUCGACGGCGGUGUUUGGCACCUCGAUGUCGGCUCAUCACAUCCUGGGGCUGAAGUAGGUCCCAAGGGUAUGGCUGUUCGCCAUUUAAAGUGGUACGCGAGCUGGGUUUAGAACGUCGUGAGACAGUUCGGUCCCUAUCUGCCGUGGGCGCUGGAGAACUGAGGGGGGCUGCUCCUAGUACGAGAGGACCGGAGUGGACGCAUCACUGGUGUUCGGGUUGUCAUGCCAAUGGCACUGCCCGGUAGCUAAAUGCGGAAGAGAUAAGUGCUGAAAGCAUCUAAGCACGAAACUUGCCCCGAGAUGAGUUCUCCCUGACUCCUUGAGAGUCCUGAAGGAACGUUGAAGACGACGACGUUGAUAGGCCGGGUGUGUAAGCGCAGCGAUGCGUUGAGCUAACCGGUACUAAUGAACCGUGAGGCUUAACCUU